AUUUAGUUUGGGUAGCUGAGCACAGCUGGAACUAUGCAGUGGGACUAGAUAUGUUUGUAAGUGCUCACAGAAGGAGAAUUGUUUAAAAAAUGGAAGAAGAAGCUGUAUUAUAUUGCAUACGACUUGUCAAGAUCCAUUUUUAGAGCAUCUGUCAAAAGCUCCACAUUAUUUCAUAGAACCAGGGGAAACGUAGAAGAAUGUACUCUCUUGUGAAUCACUGGCCAUGGGACCUCACUCCUUAGAGACAUCUGUCCACUGAGACCUCACUUUACUGUUGCAGUGACUAAGUAGGAAAUAGGAACCUCAAGGAAAGUGAUGCUGCAGUCAACAACUCCUCAGAGCCAUGGUGCAGCCCCAGCCCCUGCUCCCAUGACACAGCCCUGCACCUGAGCAGCACGCAGAUCUCAGGACCAUGCUUCUACAGCCAAAAACCUUUUCAUGGUGCCAGGACACUGAGCUUUUACACUAUCCAGCUGCCAUGGAGAUUUGGCCAGCUGAUUUAUUGCAAUCAGUUAUUAGUGCUGUACAUUGGUACUUUGAACAUGCACCCUAACCAGGAUGUCUUUCAGCUUGUUCAAAAGCUAAGUAAAAUGGUUUUUUUUUUCCUUCAUAUCGUUUCUCUCUUGUAUAAUCUGUAUGCCUUCAGUAAUAUAUAUGCAUUGCAUAUGUUCAUAGCAUACCCAUGCAAUAUAUGUAUGUAUUUAUCAGAUGCUCAUUCACAAAACCAAAUACAAAUAUAAAUUCAGGCAACAUGUGGUGUUUCAGUAAUCACCUUCAUGUUUGCUCUUCAGCAAGAAUAAGCCCUAAAUUAAAGGUAUAUAGACCUCCCUCCUUGGUGUGCUUACACAUAUAUUAUAUGUGUACAUACAUAUUUAUCAACAUAUAAAUGAAUAGUAUUUUCACUGUAUGAAUAACCCAAUGAAGUGAGAUGGUACAACAUAUAACUGAAUUGGUAAAAUGUUCCCUGUAGGGUGGUGAUAAUUCACAACAUCCUGAAUCUAUGACAAUAAAUACAGAGACAGUUUAUCAAGGAGAAAACAGCAACUUGCCUCUGUAAAAGAAUACUCUUGCAGAAUUACCCAUCUACCCCACUGAAACCACAGGGUUACAGUCCCACCCUUUUCUGUUACCAGGCUAGGAACAGAAAUUUUGCAGUGUUACACCACACAAUGCCUGGUGUAUAUUCCAGGCAGUUUUCGUGUAUGUAUGCACAGAAGAAAGGCCAUAUUUGAAUUUCUAGCCACUGUACACAUAUCAGCAAUCCUGUAUGAAGAACUGCUUCAUGCUGAUCAUCUUCUCCUUCCCCCCACCUCUAGGCUUCAGGAUUUUUCUGAAAGAACCUGAGAAUCUUGUUAAUCUCUGACUCAGAAAUCUGGACUCUCCUAAGGUCCUUAAGGAUGCUGCCUAGAAAGGUCUAGAUCAAGAAGUAAAUGAACCUAUGGCAAGCCAGUGCUGUACCAGCUUCCAUUGGCUCAUCUGUACUAUUUCUCCUGAAACUCUAAAUUAGCCCAAGUAGUUUAGUCUGCAGAUUGAUUUAGCCUCAGCUCAAAAUGAUGAGGAUUUUUCCAUUCAUUUUAAGGACUACUGGAUCAGACUUUACUCAGUUUGUUCCUUAACCAAACCUUAACGAUGUCAAUAAAAUGACUUUUACGCAC
ensembl:lncRNA